rnacentral:rRNA from 1 species
UUUCAACAACGGAUCUCUUGGUUCUGGCAUCGAUGAAGAACGCAGCGAAAUGCGAUAAGUAAUGUGAAUUGCAGAAUUCAGUGAAUCAUCGAAUCUUUGAACGCACAUUGCACCCGG